UACAGAGGGUGCAAACGUUGCUCGGAAUCAUUGGGCGUAAAGCGCACGUAGGCGGCCCAGCAAGUGGGGAGUGAAAGCCCUCGGCUUAACCGAGGAAGUGCUUUCCAAACUACUGGGCUUGAAUACUGGAGAGGGUCGCGGAAUUCCCGGUGUAGAGGUGAAAUUCGUAGAUAUCGGGAGGAACACCAGUGGCGAAGGCGGCGACCUGGGACAGAUAUUGACGCUGAGGUGCGAAAGCGUGGGGAGCAAACAGG
rnacentral:rRNA from 1 species